GACGCCUAGCUUCAUCAUCUAAUCUUGGCUCCUGAAAGCGAAGGAUUGAAGCUUCAAUUCAAGACAGCUUCCAGUGGACGGCAAGAAACUCCUAAUCUCGAGGUUCUCUUGGUUUUCUAUAAUUUCUUGCUAUUUGUAAUGGAUGUUAUACUUCAACUGAACCAGUUGCGUUGUGAGUUGCUCACCUUGCGGCAAGAAAUGCAGACUGUCCGAGCUGAUACAUAUGACAUGCAAAAUGACAUCCAUAAUGUGCUAUCCACCAUACACACCAUGCAAGGGCAAGUAGCCAAAAUGCAACACCAGUUGGCCCAUUUGAA